rnacentral:rRNA from 1 species
GUCUAUGGCCAUGCCACCCUGAACAAGCAUGAUCAUGUCUGAUUUUGGAAGCUAAGCAGGGUCGGGCCUGGUUAGUACUUGGACGGGAGACCACCCAGGAAGACCAAGUGCUGUAGGUG